AAAUUGAAGAGUUUGAUCAUGGCUCAGAUUGAACGCUGGCGGCAGGCCUAACACAUGCAAGUCGAACGGUAACAGGAAGAAGCUUGCUUCUUUGCUGACGAGUGGCGGACGGGUGAGUAAUGUCUGGGAAACUGCCUGAUGGAGGGGGAUAACUACUGGAAACGGUAGCUAAUACCGCAUAACGUCGCAAGACCAAAGAGGGGGACCUUCGGGCCUCUUGCCAUCGGAUGUGCCCAGAUGGGAUUAGCUAGUAGGUGGGGUAACGGCUCACCUAGGCGACGAUCCCUAGCUGGUCUGAGAGGAUGACCAGCCACACUGGAACUGAGACACGGUCCAGACUCCUACGGGAGGCAGCAGUGGGGAAUAUUGCACAAUGGGCGCAAGCCUGAUGCAGCCAUGCCGCGUGUAUGAAGAAGGCCUUCGGGUUGUAAAGUACUUUCAGCGGGGAGGAAGGGAGUGAAGUUAAUACCUUUGCUCAUUGACGUUACCCGCAGAAGAAGCACCGGCUAACUCCGUGCCAGCAGCCGCGGUAAUACGGAGGGUGCAAGCGUUAAUCGGAAUUACUGGGCGUAAAGCGCACGCAGGCGGUUUGUUAAGUCAGAUGUGAAAUCC
rnacentral:rRNA from 1 species